CCUACGGCGGCUGCAGUGGGGAAUAUUGGACAAUGGGCGAAAGCCUGAUCCAGCCAUGCCGCGUGUGUGAAGAAGGCCUUCGGGUUGUAAAGCACUUUCAGUGGGGAAGAAAGCCUUGGGGCUAAUACCCUCGAGGAAGGACAUCACCCACAGAAGAAGCACCGGCUAACUCCGUGCCAGCAGCCGCGGUAAUACGGAGGGUGCGAGCGUUAAUCGGAAUUACUGGGCGUAAAGCGCGCGUAGGCGGUCUGAUAAGCCGGUUGUGAAAGCCCCGGGCUCAACCUGGGAACGGCAUCCGGAACUGUCAGGCUAGAGUGCAGGAGAGGAAGGUAGAAUUCCCGGUGUAGCGGUGAAAUGCGUAGAGAUCGGGAGGAAUACCAGUGGCGAAGGCGGCCUUCUGGACUGACACUGACGCUGAGGUGCGAAAGCGUGGGUAGCAAACAGGAUUAGAUACCCGUGUAGUC
rnacentral:rRNA from 1 species